UCAUGCCACCGCACUUCAGCCUGGGUGACAGAGUGAGACUGUCACAAAAAAGCAUAAAUACAUACAUACAUACAAAAACAGUAGGGGAAAGUUAGACAGAUUGAGAAAGAGGUGAGGAGAAAUACUGACAUAGAGAGUAGAUAGAUUUUUAUGUUGCUGAUCAUUCACAUGGCUUCCCUUUAACUUAAACAGUUGGCUUUGGGUAUUAUCAAUGCCUUUGUCAUAUUAAUUAGAAAGUGGUUUUUAAAUUACUUCUUCAUCUAUUAUUUAUACUUAAAACUUUUUUCUUAGAUAUGUAGUGUACAUAUACUUACUCAACAAAUAUUGAAUACUUAACUCUGAGCAAGGUAAGUAUUGUGCUGGACCUUCAAUGUAUAUGAGUAUUUGUGUGAUUGCCUUUCAAAUAUGGUAAGAGACAGUGCCCUCUACAACAAUAGAAUCUUAGCACCUCUUUCUUAAAGUAAUGGUGCCAUCCUUCCUAUGAUAGUAAAAAUAAUGGUUCCUCAAAGAUAUUCAUGUUCUAAUUCCUGAAAACUCUGAAUGUGUUACGUUACAGGCAAAAGGGACUUGCUGAUGUUAUUAACAAUUUUGAGAUGGGGAGAUUAUUAUAGAUUAUUAGGUGGGCCCAAGGUAAUGACAAGUGUUCUUAAAAGUGAAACAGGGAAACAGGAGGGUAUGAGUCACAGAGGGAUAUGAAGGUGUCACACAGCUGUCUUUAAAAAUGGAGGGAGGGGCCAUGAGCCAAGGAAUACAGGCAGCCUCUAGAAGCUGGCAGGAAAUGGAAUCUCCAUGUGACCCUCCAGAAGGAAUGCAUUCCUACUGACAUCUUGAUUGUAGGACUUUUGACCUCCAGAGCUGUAAGAUAAUAAUGUUGUAUUAUUUUAAGCUCCUGGGUGGUUGAUAGUUUGUGACAGCAAAAGGAGGCAAUUAAUCCAUCUCCUCUCAGCUAAAUUGAGUUUACUGUAUUAACUGUAACAUAUGAAAAUAAUAAGUUCACAUUGUCUUAAUAACCUUUUUUAUAAAAUAGAUGGUUCUACCUGUCUAAUUUCUCUUGUGUGGUUUUGAUAAUGAUCUAAUGUAAACCAAAAUAAAAUUAUAAGAUCUCCCGGCCAUCUAAAUGGACUUCCUCUUCAGCCAGGGCUCUUAACCUGAAAGACUGGUUCAGGCCAUGAAGGGAAGUGAGGUUGGACUUGCCUCAUUAUACAUCUCCAGCAUUAACACCAACAUUGACUUUAAGUCUGAUAAGAAACAUUUUAGAGCCUAUUAUCUCCGAAGCCUGCUAGCUAAAAAGUUUCAUCCGCACGAUACAACUUUGGUCUCCACAAAUCCAAACAUUCCUUUCUGUUGAUCCCAAGUCUUCAGACAAACUCAACCAAUUGUCAACCAGGAAAUGUUUAAAUUUACCUAUAGCCUGAAAGCCUCCCCAACUCCCACCUUGAGUUGUCCCACCUUUCUGGACCAAACCAAUGGCUUCCUUAAAUGUGCUUGAUUGAUGUUUCAUGCCUCCCUAAUAUGCAUCCCAACCACCUUGGAAACCUGUCUCAGAUUUUCUGGGUCUACACAAGUAAGAUAAAAUAUAUAAAAGUAUUUCGAAUACUAACUUCUACUGUUCUGGUGCUGACAGGGAAAAGACCACAGAAAGUUGGGGAAGUGUGAUGGAGGAAGAGGGGAAGUAUAUUACCAAGUUCUAAGGUUUCCUUCCAUGUGGAAGGAUCUCACUGGUGUAAUUGACCUUGUAUCCUGAGACUUUACUGAACUUACUACUUCUACUAUCCUUUUUUGAAGCUUCCCUGAGUGAUGUAAAUAAAUAAAUAUAAAUACUUUUCUAUAAAUAGAAAAGUAUGCUUCUUUCAAAUAUGUAUGCCUAUUGCUUCUCUUUAAUUUCUUAUUUACUGACUAGAACUUGCAAUUAAAUAUAAAAGUGUUACAGCUCACCUAAUUUUAAAUGAAAUGUACUCUUUUGAAUAAGUUUAACAAGUAUUUUAAGAUCUUUAUCAAUGUAAUAUUUUGGCUGAUAGCUGGUUCUCACUCCCUCCUCCCCUGGAGAAGAAUGAAUUGUAUUACUGAUGAGGUCAGGAUAUGCGAAUGGGCUUUUAAAGCCAACCUCCAUCUCUCAUCUUUUUCUUGGAAUCCGGCUGCCCACAGUGAACUGCUCUGCAGUGCUCCUCUAGUCCUUGACCUUUACAAAGUCUAGAUCCCAUAGUAUGGAAUUGGGGGUGGGGAGGGGUUGUAGUUGUUCAGGAGCCUGUGACUAACUCAGUUUUUAAAAGUCCUUGCUGUUAAACUAAGUCACAUCCCUUGGGAUUAACUUUAUCAGUAAGAAAGAUGAUAUAUCAUCUUCUUUCAUCAGCCUAGAUUUUAAUUUUCUCUCUCAAGUACUGCUGAACUCAGGCAGGAAGAAGAGUGCUAUUUAUUCGACUCCAAAUCUCAUUCAGCAGGACAGAGUUGAGGUUUGCAAGGAAGAACCUAUAAUGAUGGGUCAUGGAAUGUAAACUAUCAAAGAAGAGAAAUAAAAGUUGGAGUCCACACCUUGUGACAACAAAAGACAACUCAAAUCAGCUUCAAGCACAGAUCGUAGCUAACGGCGGGGCUAUUUUUUCCAUCUGUAAUAAAGAAUGUUCCAGCAUCUUUAAUGACCGAAGAUAAUCCUCUGUCGUCAUCUUGAGCAUCUAGGCUAUAAAAAUAUAUACACUGCUUUGAAGAAAGGUUCUGGUCUACUGGUGUGAAGUGAAGGUCAGAUUAUGGAAAACUGGCAUUGUUACAACAAGAAAUGAAGCCUGCUCAUGUUUUCUCUUGGUAUUUUCAAUAAAGUAUCUUGAAGUUUCCAACUUGAAGAU